rnacentral:rRNA from 1 species
GACGAACGCUGGCGGCGUGCUUAACACAUGCAAGUCGAGCGGAAAGGCACCUUCCGGGGUACACGAGCGGCCAACGGGGGGGUAACACGGGAGCAAUCUGCCCUUCACACGGGGAUAACUCCGGGAAACCGCAGCUAAUACCCGAUACGACCACUUCAGGCCUAUGAUGGUGGUGGAAAGUUACGGCGGUGAAGGAUGAGCUCGGGGCCGAUCAGCUUGUUGGUGGGGUAACGGCCCACCAAGGCAACGACGGGUAGCCGGCCUGAGGGGGUGACCGGCCACACUGGGACUGAGACACGGCCCAGACUCCUACGGGAGGCAGCAGUGGGGAAUAUUGGACAAUGGGCGAAAGCCUGAUCCAGCAACGCCGCGUGAGGGAUGACGGCCUUCGGGUUGUAAACCUCUUUCAGCAGGGACGAAGCGCAAGUGACGGUACCUGCAGAAGAGGCACCGGCCAACUACGUGCCAGCCGCCGCAGUAA